CGGUGGGGCGUGCCGGGCCUUCCCCGGCCAUCUCGGGCGAGCUGGAGACUGCUGCCCGCCCCUUGGCGGGUCUACCCCGUGCUUGACAGAGCCCAGGCCAGGUUCUUCAACUCCAGAAGGGUUUCAGGCAGGACCGGUGGAGAAGCUCCGGUGACACCUCACUUCCAUCAGACCCAGGAUCUACUGCCUCCUAACCAAAGGAGGUCUCUGCAGUGAGUCCCGUGUCUCAUAGCGAGUUGGAGGCAGGAAUGGGAGUGCGAGUCUGUCCUGUCGGCUCUGAUACAGAAAGGAACCCCAUAGGACCAACCUCAGCAGUGCAUAGCUCAGGAAGCACCGUCAGACCACUCGCGCUGCAGAGUGCUGCUGGAGGGAAUGUAUGUACUAGGACGACCUCGACAAUCUCAUAGCUGAGGAGCUGAGAUGAGGAAAGGGGCCCAAAGAACGGACUAGGUCACGACGGACCACUCGCCCGCCAUUCCACUGGACACGCCCCGCUCGAGUUCUCCACGGCCACGAGGCUGUUGACUUUGCAGCAUGGAUACCGACUGGCUGGCUCCCUGGGCUUCUCCAGAGACUGAGUCUGUGACCCAUCAGCUAGGACGCAAACAGGAGUCCCACAGCACCAACACCCUGAAAUACACAGCUCGUCAUAGGAUGACUCGAGGGAGAAUCUGACCGGCUAUU